CGUAUCUGAGGAGCAAAAUGAACAUGUUAAGCGAACAAGCAGGAGCGCUCAUAUCCCGUGACGACUGAAACGGUCGGUGACGUUAGCAAACCCACGAAUGUGUCACAGUCUUGAUCGAGGCUAUGGCCUGGUCUGGCAUUGCUUCAGGCAACAUACGCAAAUAUAUACACAUUUCAAAGCCAUAUACUCGCAAACCUAUUUGUUACUAUACUUCCACUGUUCGUGUGUCACUCAGUGACCGCACUUCUUGCAGUAGUUCGGUUCAAAAGUCAGAUAGUCCUCAAAUUUUCUUUUUAGUGAUGUGUUAGUGGUUUAUGCACGCUUCAUAAUGUCGGUAGGCCUGCGUGACGUAACAAACCGGUAAUAACAUCUGUGCCGCCAGAAAAGUGGUAAUUAAGUAGUGUAUACAAUUAUGUCUUACUACACGAUCCCGGCCGCCCUCUAAGUCACGGCGACCGCGUUGUUGCAUCCCGCGUGCCGCUUGAAAUUUCCGCGCCAAGCUCGUGACGUCAGGAUGACGUCGUUUGUUCCGGAAGUGCGCAGUUUCCGGAACGGAACUGCGCUUCAGCGUGUGGCACACACUGCGACUAAUGGCAGGCGAUUGCGCGCGCAGUCCAUAAACCAAUACAACUAAUCUGGUCGGUCGAAACGUUGGUAUCGGCACCAUUUUGUUUUUACAGGGUUGCGAAAUUUACACAGCUGCCGCGACGAAACGCUCGCGCGGUUGAACAGGUGUGCGCGUGCGAGCAAGGACAAACGGGGGGAAAAUAAUAAUAACAAA